AGACGUUAUCAUUAACAUGAGAUCAUCAAAGAGGUUUGUGUCAGUUUCUCUGUCAGACAUGUUUCCUGUAGCUCUGCUGCUGCUGUUGGCAGCUUCAUUGGGUGUGACUUGUCAAAAGAUGACACAGUCAGCCUCUGUAACUGUGCAGCCAGGUCGGCCUCUGACCAUCAGCUGUCAGGUCUUCUAUUCUGUUGGUGACCAUCACACACAUUUUAUCAGAAAGCCAGCAGGGAAAGGACUGGAGUGGAUUGGAGGUGCACGUGUUGGAUAUACCACAUACUACAAAGAUUCACUGAGGAACAAAUUCAGUUUCAACUUAGACUCUUCCAGCAACACGGUGACUCUGAAAGGACAGAAUAUGCAGGCUGAAGACACAGCUGUGUAUUACUGUGUGACACAGUAA